CCUACGGGCGGCAGCAGUGAGGAAUAUUGGUCAAUGGACGAGAGUCUGAACCAGCCAAGUAGCGUGAAGGAUGACUGCCCUAUGGGUUGUAAACUUCUUUUAUAUGGGAAUAAAAUGUUCCACGUGUGGGAUUUUGUCUGUACCAUUUGAAUAAGGAUAGGCUAACUCUGUGCCAGCAGCCGCGGUAAUACGGAGGAUCCGAGCGUUAUCCGGAUUUAUUGGGUUUAACGGGAGCGUAGGUGGAGUGUUAAGUCAGUUGUGAAAGUUUGCGGCUCAACCGGAAAAUUGCAGUUGAAACUGGCAGGCUGGAGUACAGGAGAGGUGGGCGGAAUUCGUGGUGUAGCGGUGAAAUGCGUAGAUAUCACGAAGAACACCGAUUGCGAAGGCAGCUCACUGGACUGCAACUGACACUGAGGCUCGAAAGUGUGGGUAUCAAACAGGAUUAGAUACCCGUGUAGUC
rnacentral:rRNA from 1 species